rnacentral:rRNA from 1 species
GACAGAGGGUGCAACCGUUGUUCGGAAUUACUGGGCGUAAAGCGCGUGUAGGCUGCUUGGAAAGUCGGAUGUGAAAGCCCUGGGCUCAACCUAGGAAGUGCAUUCGAAACUUCUGAGCUUGAGUGUCGGAGAGGAAGGCGGAAUUCUCGGUGUAGAGGUGAAAUUCGUAGAUAUCGAGAGGAACACCUGUGGCGAAGGCGGCCUUCUGGACGACAACUGACGCUGAGACGCGAAAGCGUGGGGAGCAAACAGG